AUCCUAGUUUAUGUAAAAUAGCGGUUUUGUAGACCGAUGAUUCGCCUACUUGUGGGAAUGCCA
rnacentral:tRNA from 1 species